GACGAAGGAUGCAAGCGUUAUCCGGAUUCAUUGGGUUUAAAGGGAGCGUAGGUGGUCUUAUAAGUCAGUGGUGAAAUCUCCGAGCUUAACUCGGAAAUUGCCAUUGAUACUGUAGGACUUGAGUACAGUUGCCGUUGGCGGAAUAUGACAUGUAGUGGUGAAAUACAUAGAGAUGUCAUAGAACACCGAUUGCGAAGGCAGCUAACGAAACUGUAACUGACACUGAGGCUCGAAAGUGCGGGGAUCAAACAGGAUUAGAUACCCUGGUAGUCCGCACUGUAAACGAUGAUUACUCGCUGCUGGGAGGUAACUUUCAGUGGCUUAGCGAAAGCGAUAAGUAAUCCACCUGGGGAGUACGCCGGCAACGGUGAA
rnacentral:rRNA from 1 species